rnacentral:tRNA from 1 species
GCGUGACCAGCACGAAUGUCGGAAUGUCGCCGCUCUCCUAAAGCGGGUGUCGGCAGUUCGAAUCUGCCCAGGCGCA